CGCUGGCGGCGUGCCUAAUACAUGCAAGUAGAACGCUGAAGAGAGGAGCUUGCUCUUCUUGGAUGAGUUGCGAACGGGUGAGUAACGCGUAGGUAACCUGCCUUGUAGCGGGGGAUAACUAUUGGAAACGAUAGCUAAUACCGCAUAACAAUGGAUGACACAUGUCAUUUAUUUGAAAGGGGCAAUUGCUCCACUACAAGAUGGACCUGCGUUGUAUUAGCUAGUAGGUGAGGUAAUGGCUCACCUAGGCGACGAUACAUAGCCGACCUGAGAGGGUGAUCGGCCACACUGGGACUGAGACACGGCCCAGACUCCUACGGGAGGCAGCAGUAGGGAAUCUUCGGCAAUGGGGGCAACCCUGACCGAGCAACGCCGCGUGAGUGAAGAAGGUUUUCGGAUCGUAAAGCUCUGUUGUAAGUCAAGAACGGGUGUGAGAGUGGAAAGUUCACACUGUGACGGUAGCUUACCAGAAAGGGACGGCUAACUACGUGCCAGCAGCCGCGGUAAUACGUAGGUCCCGAGCGUUGUCCGGAUUUAUUGGGCGUAAAGCGAGCGCAGGCGGUUUGAUAAGUCUGAAGUUAAAGGCUGUGGCUCAACCAUACUUCGCUUUGGAAACUGUCAAACUUGAGUGCAGAAGGGGAGAGUGGAAUUCCAUGUGUAGCGGUGAAAUGCGUAGAUAUAUGGAGGAACACCGGUGGCGAAAGCGGCUCUCUGGUCUGUAACUGACGCUGAGGCUCGAAAGCGUGGGGAGCGAACAGGAUUAGAUACCCUGGUAGUCCACGCCGUAAACGAUGAGUGCUAGGUGUUGGAUCCUUUCCGGGAUUCAGUGCCGCAGCUAACGCAUUAAGCACUCCGCCUGGGGAGUACGACCGCAAGGUUGAAACUCAAAGGAAUUGACGGGGGCCCGCACAAGCGGUGGAGCAUGUGGUUUAAUUCGAAGCAACGCGAAGAACCUUACCAGGUCUUGACAUCCCGAUGCUAUUUCUAGAGAUAGAAAGUUACUUCGGUACAUCGGUGACAGGUGGUGCAUGGUUGUCGUCAGCUCGUGUCGUGAGAUGUUGGGUUAAGUCCCGCAACGAGCGCAACCCCUAUUGUUAGUUGCCAUCAUUCAGUUGGGCACUCUAGCGAGACUGCCGGUAAUAAACCGGAGGAAGGUGGGGAUGACGUCAAAUCAUCAUGCCCCUUAUGACCUGGGCUACACACGUGCUACAAUGGUUGGUACAACGAGUUGCGAGUCGGUGACGGCGAGCUAAUCUCUUAAAGCCAAUCUCAGUUCGGAUUGUAGGCUGCAACUCGCCUACAUGAAGUCGGAAUCGCUAGUAAUCGCGGAUCAGCACGCCGCGGUGAAUACGUUCCCGGGCCUUGUACACACCGCCCGUCACACCACGAGAGUUUGUAACACCCGAAGUCGGUGAGGUAACCUUUUGGAGCCAGCCGCCUAAGGUGGGACAGAUGA
rnacentral:rRNA from 1 species